UAAUAAAAGAGGAACAUUGUCAAAACAGCAUACGUAAAGUGUUUUGAGGAUAUAUUAGGCUACUCUGAACUGAACUGUUGCGACAAAUGCGUUUACAAGAGAUGAGAAGCUGAUUGGAGGUCGCUGUAGAUCGACGUUUAAAACCACCAAUCACAGCGCGAUGUUGCCAUGACGUAAGAACAUUUGAACUCGACAAACAGCGCAAAUAAAGCAACGUUUCUGUUGAAGAAAUCGGCGCAGAAUGUCCGUUGUCUAAAUUGGCGACACAUUGGCCCAAAACAACAGAACUCCUGGUCAACGGAACUCUUUCACAACUAAUGGCAGUGAAUGGCCGUCUAUCAAGGCGCAUCCAUCCAUGAUAAAAGUAAUCCACCACAUGACUCUGGCGGGGUUAUAAAGCCCUUUUAAAGCGAAGCAUUUGUGCUAUGAGGAAAAACUCUACCGUGCACACAGAGAACAGAGCUCAAUGCUGCUAACUGGGGGAGCAGCUG